CGCGUAGGCGGUCCUAUAAGUCCUGUGUGAAAUCCCCCGGCUCAACUGGGGAAUUGCACGGGAAACUGUGGGGCUUGAGUUCGGGAGAGGGAAGCGGAAUUCCGGGUGUAGCGGUGAAAUGCGUAGAUAUCCGGAGGAACACCGGUGGCGAAGGCGGCUUCCUGGACCGACACUGACGCUGAUGCGCGAAAGCUAGGGGAGCAAACG
rnacentral:rRNA from 1 species